rnacentral:rRNA from 1 species
GAUGAACGCUGGCGGCGUGCCUAAUACAUGCAAGUCGAGCGAACGGACGAGAAGCUUGCUUCUCUGAUGUUAGCGGCGGACGGGUGAGUAACACGUGGAUAACCUACCUAUAAGACUGGGAUAACUUCGGGAAACCGGAGCUAAUACCGGAUAAUAUUUUGAACCGCAUGGUUCAAAAGUGAAAGACGGUCUUGCUGUCACUUAUAGAUGGAUCCGCGCUGCAUUAGCUAGUUGGUAAGGUAACGGCUUACCAAGGCAACGAUGCAUAGCCGACCUGAGAGGGUGAUCGGCCACACUGGAACUGAGACACGGUCCAGACUCCUACGGGAGGCACCAGUAGGGAAUCUUCCGCAAUGGGCGAAAGCCUGACGGAGCAACGCCGCGUGAGUGAUGAAGGUCUUCGGAUCGUAAAACUCUGUUAUUAGGGAAGAACAUAUGUGUAAGUAACUGUGCACAUCUUGACGGUACCUAAUCAGAAAGCCACGGCUAACUACGUG